rnacentral:rRNA from 1 species
GUGGGGAAUCUUGCGCAAUGGGCGAAAGCCUGACGCAGCCAUGCCGCGUGAAUGAUGAAGGUCUUAGGAUUGUAAAAUUCUUUCACCGGGGACGAUAAUGACGGUACCCGGAGAAGAAGCUCCGGCUAACUUCGUGCCAGCAGCCGCGGUAAUACGAAGGGGGCUAGCGUUGCUCGGAAUUACUGGGCGUAAAGGGCGCGUAGGCGGACAGCUUAGUCAGAGGUGAAAGCCCAGGGCUCAACCUUGGAAUUGCCUUUGAUACUGGCUGUCUUGAGUAUGGGAGAGGUGAGUGGAACGCCGAGUGUAGAGGUGAAAUUCGUAGAUAUUCGGAAGAACACCAGUGGCGAAGGCGACUCACUGGCCCAAUACUGACGCUGAGGCGCGAAAGCGUGGGGAGCAAACAGGAUUAGAAACCCGAGUAGUCC